rnacentral:rRNA from 1 species
AGGACGAACGCUGGCGGCGUGCCUAACACAUGCAAGUCGAACGAGGUCCAUCCUUCGGGAGAAGACCUAGUGGCGAACGGGUGAGUAACACGUGAAGAACCUGCCCCGAAGACCGGAUAACCCUCCGAAAGGAGAGCUAAUACCGGAUACCCCCACCGAACCGCAUGGUUUGGUGAGGAAAUGGAUUCCGCUUCGGGAGGGCUUCGCGGCCUAUCAGCUAGUUGGUGGGGUAAACGGCCCACCAAGGCAUCGACGGGUAGCUGGUCUGAGAGGACGAUCAGCCACACUGGGACUGAGACACGGCCCAGACUCCUACGGGAGGCAGCAGUGGGGAAUCUUGCGCAAUGGGCGAAAGCCUGACGCAGCAACGCCGCGUGGGGGAUGAAGGCUCUCGGGUUGUAAACCCCUUUCAGCAGGGACGAAUCAAGACGGUACCUGCAGAAGAAGCCCCGGCUAACUACGUG